CACGUAGGGGGCGAGCGUUUGUCCGGAUUUAUUGGGCGUAAAGAGCUCGUAGGCGGCUCAGUAAGUCAGGUGUGAAAACUCCAGGCUCAACCUGGAGACGCCACCUGAUACUGCUGUGGCUAGAGUCCGGUAGGGGAGCAUGGAAUUCCUGGUGUAGCGGUGAAAUGCGCAGAUAUCAGGAGGAACACCAGUGGCGAAGGCGGUGCUCUGGGCCGGAACUGACGCUGGAGGAGCGAAAGCGUGGGGAGCGAACAGG
rnacentral:rRNA from 1 species